rnacentral:rRNA from 1 species
GAUGAACGCUGGCGGCGUGCUUAAUACAUGCAAGUCGAACGGAGUAUGUAGCAAUACGUACUUAGUGGCGAACGGGUGAGUAACGCGUUGGUGACCUGCCUCGAAGAGAGGGAUAACAGUCCGAAAGGAUUGCUAAUACCUCAUGUGAUCAAGGGGAUUAGAAGACCUUGAUUAAAGGAGCAAUUCACUUCGAGAGGGACCUGCGUACCAUCAGCUAGUUGGUGAGGUAACGGCCCACCAAGGCGAUGACGGUUAGGGGACCUGAGAGGGUGGCCCCCCACAAUGGAACUGAAACACGGUCCAUACACCUACGGGUGGCAGCAGUAGGGAAUAUUAGUUAAUGUGCGAAAGCGCGAACUAGCAACGCCGCGUGUGCGAUGAAGGCCUUCGGGUCGUAAAGCACUUUUCCGAGGGACGAGGAAGGACGGUACCUCGGGAAUAAGCAUCGGCUAACUACGUG